rnacentral:tRNA from 1 species
UCUAUAAUGACAGAAUAAUGUAAUGGACUUAAGAUCCAUCUAUAAAGAUUUUUAAUCUUUUUAUAGAA